CGGUUAGCUCAGCUGGUUAGAGCGCCUGCUUUACACGCAGGAGGCCGCAGGUUCGAGUCCUGCACUGCCC
rnacentral:tRNA from 1 species